AAAGUCCCUCCACUCCCGCUUCCCCUUCCCGGAGAGCCGAUGGCUUCUCUAUCAAGCCCGCUCCCGCCGCCGUUGACCGCCCAGUUCUCUCGAUCAAUCAACGAGAGCCGCUUCCUCUCGCUCCCGUGCCUCAAGGCCCGGCCGGCGAUCAUCGGGGGACGCGUCGCCGCUUCUCAGAUCUCCUGCAGAGCUGUCUCCGUCAAGCCCCAGACUGAGAUCGAGGGCCUCAACAUCGCCGAGGAUGUCACUCAGCUUAUUGGGAAGACACCUAUGGUGUAUCUAAACAAUAUUGUGAAGGGGUGUACUGCAAAUAUUGCUGCUAAGCUUGAGAUCAUGGAGCCAUGUUGCAGCGUUAAAGAUAGGAUAGGCUACAGUAUGAUCACUGAUGCUGAAGAGAGA
rnacentral:misc_RNA from 1 species